UUUGUAGCUCAGUCGGUAGAGCAGGGGACUGAAAAUCCCCGUGUCGAUGGUUCGAUUCCGUCCGA
rnacentral:tRNA from 1 species